rfam:Halothece sp. PCC 7418, complete genome.
GCGGGUAUAGUUCAGUGGUAGAACGUCACCUUCCCAAGGUGAAUGCCAGGGGUUCGAGUCCCCUUACCCGCU